ensembl:snoRNA small nucleolar RNA SNORA5
UGCAAGCGUCCUAGCGCUUCGGGCUGCCCGUGCCCGGCGCGUAUUCACUUCCUUGCCAGAGAAGUUUGCCCAGGUCAAGUGCCCGGUUCCGCCGCCGUGGGAGCCGGGUUCCACCGGCCCGGGGACAAUU